UUGAUGUUAAAUGUGUUGUUUAUUUGGCUGAUUUGGUUUUGAUUGUCUCUUAAUAUUAACCAUCUUUGAGUUUUUGCUUCAGUUGUUUGCAGUAGCUAGGGCUUUUGGAGCUUCAGAGUUCAGACAUAAUAGCUGUGGAUGUUCAGGAUGAUAAGUUGCAGAAGGCGAUGACUCUUGGUGCUACACAUAUUGUCAAUGCUGCUAAAGAUGCUGUUGAAAGGAUAAGAGAAACAACAGGUGGGAUGGGUGUGGAUGUUGCUGUUGAAGCCUUGGGAAAGCCUCAAACUUUCAUGCAGUGCACACUAAGUGUGAGAGAUGGUGGAAAAGCUGUGAUGAUUGGACCCUCACAAGCUGGUUCUGUUGGUGAAAUAGACAUAAACCGACUUUUUCGUAGGAAGAUAAAAGUGAUAGGGUCAUAUGGAGGCAGGAUCUUCCUAAAGUAGUGAAACCGGCAGAGUCAGGGAUAUUCAAUCUAGCAAACGCUGUUUCGAGUAGAUACAAGUUUGAGGAUGCAGGAAAAAGCAUUUCAAGAUCUCAAUGAAGGAAAAAUUGUGAGCAGAGGUUUUGGUGAUGACUGCUUCAUACCUGAUUCACUGAGGUCUUGUUUUUUAGUAUUU